rnacentral:lncRNA from 1 species
ACGGCUCUUUUAUCUUUUUUUUUUUUUUUUCUUUGCACUGCAGUACUGGGGCUUGAACUCAGGGCCUCCACCUUGGACACUCCACCAGCCCUUUUUUGUGAAGGGUUUUUUCGAGAUAAGGGCUCCAGAACUAUUUGCUGGGGCUGGCUUCGAACUGUGAUGCUCCUGAUCUCUGCCUCCUGAGCGGCUCUUUAUCUUAAAGGCACGGAGGGCUGCGAUGCCGGACCACAGGAUCUGCUCUGGGGGCUACAUCGGGGGCUCCCAAGUGGGGGCUGUCUGCCCUCAGCGCAGGCUGGGCGAUGUCUGGGGACAUUUGUGGCUGUCACAACUAGGGAUGCUCCUCGCAUGGAGUGGGUGGAGGCCAGGGACGCUUGAAUGAACUUGGGUGACUUGGUGGCCUCCAGGAGCAUCAGAACCUUCAUCCAUAAAACAGAGCCCUGGCUCAGUCUGAUGUUCACUGACCACUCACCACCAGGGAGAAGAGCAGGUCUCUAGCCAAGGAUUUUGGGAUUUGGGCACCACCAAGUCUGGUCUUCAUCGCAGCCUUUCUUCUCCCGCAGCUCUGCCCUCCCAGGAACCUGAUUUUUAACAAGAGGACAGAAUGGCUGCUGGGUACCUGCCUCCCUGGUCCCAGGGCCGCCAUCCACCCCCUCCUCCUGUGAGAGAGGGUGGGACAGGGUCCCAUUUGGAACAGAACUGCUGUGAUGUUCUAGGAACUGGUGACCCUCAAGGACAUGGCUGUGGACUUCUCCCCAGAGGAGUGGGAGCUGCUGGGCCCUGCUCAGAGGCUCCUGUACAGAGAGGUGAUGCUGGAGACCUACCACAACGUGGGCUGCCUGGGUAAGGCCAUGUCACUGUUCUCACUUACUUGAAGCUGCUGCAUGCUGUGCUGCCACGCUGGGAGCUAGGGGUGGAAGGUGAGCACCACAGACCCGGUUGUGGCUGUGGCAGUCCAUGUCCCCAGGUCUCUGAUGGAGUGCAUGACCUUGUGUCAGUGCAUGACGGCUGGAGUGGCUCGAGUCACACUUCUCAGCAGAGGCACAGGUACUCCUGCUCCCUCUUGGG